UCAUCAGCGACUCAUGAUGCUCAUCUCUACAGCCCAGAGGACAUUUAAAGAACUAAAUAAAGAUAUAGAAGGUGGCCCCUUCUCUCAUCAGUAAGCCUUACCAUCUAAGGGACACUCUGGACAUCGGAAGAUUCCAAGUCGUCUCUUACGGAGGAUUCAUCUGGCGACCCAGCAGAUUAGUGAAGAAAAAGUUAGAAGAAUAUUACCCUAAAUCAGGGUCAGGUGAUAAGGGUCUGCAUUAUGACAGCUGGAACUGAAGUGAAUGAAAUAAAUGUGAGCACCACAAAGGAAGUCUCAUCGGGGCUUGGCUGAAUAUAAAGAGAGGGAGGAAUUAAAAUGUGUUCUGUUUUUCAUGUGGUUCGCCUUGCUCCUGAAUCUUCUGCAGUCUGUUUAAAGCAACUGGCCUGCACAUGCUGAUGCUCUCACAGAUUUAAGAGUUUAAGAAGAAAUCCACAAAUUCAAGCAUAUACAUCUAAUAAGUUAAUUGAGUUUUUAAUGGCAUUUAUUUGUAUUUUGAUAACUAGUUAGCAAAUGAAAAGUGCACUGGAAAGAAUGCAUUAAAUUACUUAGAUGAAGGAAUGACAUACAUAAAAAUUGUCAAAGGGAUGACGGAGGAAAAUAAACCAGGUUCAUUAAACCAACACCUAAAACAUGGAGUGAAAAACCCCUUGUUCUGAUGGCAAUGAACGUUGUAUUUCUAUCUUAAUACUUUGCAUUAUGACUGUCCAAUGCAUUGCAUAGUUUUCAAGGACCCAAUCAUAUUGUUAAAGUACUUCCUUAAUAAGAGGUAAAUUAUGUAAUAGUAAAACACAGCUGUGUUUGCUACAAAAAUUCAAUAAAACAAUUUAAUAAUCUUCAUAAAGUAUUUAUCUACUUGAGUGAAUUAACUAAGUACUCAAUAGAAAUUGCUUUA